rnacentral:lncRNA from 1 species
AUCUGGUAAUUAUGUGUGCCUAUGCCAAGAGGCACACAUAUUACUAUUCGUCGGAUUUAUUAUUAUUAUUAUUAUGUGUGCCUAUGCCAAGAGGCACACAUAUUACUAUUUCUCGGAUUUAUUAUUAUUAUGUGUGCCUAUGGAAAGAGGCACACAUAUUACUAUUCGUCGGAUUUAUUAUUAUGUGUGCCUAUGACAAGAGGCACACAUAUUACUAUUCCUCGGAUUUAUUAUUCUUCUUCUUAUUAUGUGUGCCUAUGACAAGAGGCACACAUAUUACUAUUCGUCGGAUUUAUUAUUAUUAUGUGUGCCUAUGACAAGAGGCACACAUAUUACUAUUCGUCGGAUUUAUUGUGUGGAUGCUGGAGGCAUCCACACUAUUGAGUUCCUGUUUCUCUUUAUUCUUUAUACUUUAUUGUGUGGAUGCUGGAGGCAUCCACACUAUUGAGUUCCUGUUUCUCUUUAUUCUUUAUACUUUAUUAUUAUUAUUGUGUGGAUGCUUUAUGCAUCCACACUAUUGAGUUCCUGUUUCUCUUUAUUGUGUGGAUGCUUUAAGGCAUCCACACUAUUGUUUUCCUGUUUCUCUUUCUUCUUUAUUAUUAUUCCAGUUGCCACUUUUUGUACGUUUUUUGGCACUUAACUACUUCCACAAUUUUCAGCCGAUUUUCACCGUUCAAAUUUUAAACUAUUCUGCUAUUUCUGCUAAUGGGUGCUAUGACUUUUGGUAUUUUUUACUGUUAUACUUUUUAAAAUAUUAAGCUUUUUUCCUUUAAUUUGUCCCAUUGAAAUGAAUGGGAAACUUCUGCAAUUCUGCUAAAACUUGCUUGUUUUUGAAACUUAACUACUUUUUCCUACUUUCACGUAGAACAACCAUUCAAACUUUAAAAUGUUCACAAAUUAUUGGGCUAUUCAUGUCUGAUUCAGCUUUUUCAUAUCUGUUACCGUUUUCAUCUUAUCCCUCUUAAAGUUUUGAGUUGCAAAAUUGUGAUUUUUCAGAAAAUACAUGUGUUGUUAUGGUUGCUAUGCACUUGGCUUCCAGUGUGCCACUGUAGGUUUCGCAGUCUUCUCUUCAUGUCCGAACAACUUCUUGCUACUUGCUCAAUUUUCACUCAACUUCCACAAAUUAUAGAUCAAAACGUAGGUAUUUUUGCUGGCUUUCAGAAAAUGUCACCAUCAUUGUUGUGAGAUUUAUAGAAUUUUGGCAAAUCUCCUCAGACCAACACAAAGUCUGAAAACUCUCCAUAGAAAGUCAAUGGAGAGUUUGUUCAAAAUCAUCGCUUGAUUUCUGUAAUGAGAGGCAUAUUCGAAUCGUCAUAUCUCCUUAACGAAGCGAAGUUAAAACAUGAGGCUUGUCCCCGUAUAUCUUCAGACACUCCUGACGCUCACAAUUCAAGAAUUUUUUUCUCACCUAUUACCGUUCUGAAAUGAGUUAGACUUGUUUGAGGGUAGGAAAUUCGUCCCUCGCUCAGAUUUCUUCAGAUUUCAAACUCUGGAAAUGAACAACUUUUUUCUCUUGUCAUAUCUUUUUUUUGGAUUUCCACAGAGACCUGAAAAUUUCCAUGACUGUUCACCAAAGCCUGCUGUCUCUUAUGGUGAAAGAAUGAUAUCGAUACUCCAAAUAUAUUUAGAGUUAGAAAGCAUUGUUUGAGGGCAGGUCAAGACAGUUUUUGCUUUGCCUCUACCCAGUUAUGGUGCAUUACAAGUCAAAUAUCUUUAAUAAUUCAUAUUUUAAUGAUAAAUUGUCAACACUUGAAGAUUCCCCCAUCUCUUCUGAACAAAACGGUGUAAGAAUGACCAUUCUAGCCCCUACGGUUAGGAAAUUAUGGUCAUUUGUUUGAGGGGAGUCCUCACUAUGAGAAAUAGACUGCAAAAAUCCUGUGUCUCUCUGUGCUGCGUGCACCUGUUUUGGCGGGAAAAAGUACACAGGCUCUCUGAUUGGUGGAUUCAAAUUCAACAGCUCCCAAGCUGCUUGACUGAGCUAGAAACUUGCUUCUCUCUCCCUGUGUGUGUGUGUGUGUGUGUGUGUGUGUGUGUGUGUGUGUGUGUGUGUGUGUGUGUGUGUUGAAUCAUUGUAAGAUUCAAAUUCAAUAUAUUUAGACUGGUUGACUGAAUUGGAUCUUGUGUGUAUGUCUCUCUGUGCAUGUGUGUUUCCAUAUGUGUCCAUAUUUGUGAUUGUGUGGCUGUAAUAGUUUUUUUUAUAUUUGAGGGACCCUUAGCAUGUUCAGCAUUUUUUCAGCUGUCCAUUUUGCUUUUCCAAUUUUUCUGUUUAAGUUAUUACUAUUGUCAUACUAUUUCUGCUAUUUUAUAAGAUUUGUGCUAAAUAUAGUAUUUCUGCCAAAUAUAGUAUUUCUGAUUAAUUAUAGUUUUUCUACC